rnacentral:rRNA from 1 species
CCUACGGGGGGCAGCAGUGGGGAAUAUUGGACAAUGGGGGCAACCCUGAUCCAGCCAUGCCGCGUGUGUGAAGAAGGCCCUCGGGUUGUAAAGCACUUUCAGUGAGGAAGAACGCCUGGUGGUUAAUACCCAUCAGGAAAGACAUCACUCACAGAAGAAGCACCGGCUAACUCCGUGCCAGCAGCCGCGGUAAUACGGAGGGUGCGAGCGUUAAUCGGAAUUACUGGGCGUAAAGCGCGCGUAGGUGGCUUGAUAAGCCGGUUGUGAAAGCCCCGGGCUCAACCUGGGAACGGCAUCCGGAACUGUCAAGCUAGAGUGCAGGAGAGGAAGGUAGAAUUCCCGGUGUAGCGGUGAAAUGCGUAGAGAUCGGGAGGAAUACCAGUGGCGAAGGCGGCCUUCUGGACUGACACUGACACUGAGGUGCGAAAGCGUGGGUAGCGAACAGGAUUAGAUACCCGAGUAGUC